CUAGUGCCUACGCCAAUUCUUGGGAUUAGUUGUCAAUUGGAUCUCAGUCUCCCAUGAGCCGUGGCAAUAUGCCGGGAUAACGCGAGGAAGAUGAUGAUAGGUUCUGCCAUCUUGUGGGCUACAUCGGAAGCAUAAACGACACAUUUACGCCUCGCGCCAAAAAUCUGACGGCUCCUAUGCUGCCCCCUAUAGUUCAUGCACGGGGCCUAUAACUACUGUUAUGACGACCGAUUCCAUAAAGCUUAAAAUAUACGGUGUUAAAAUGGAAUUUUCGUUUAAACCAUUACGGCGUCGUACGUUAUUAUGCGGUUACUAGGUAUCCAAGCGCUAACAUUUGGCAAUCCAGUUAGGUAGGUACAUCAGAACACCAUCUAGCUAUAUCUACUAAGUUAACGAUAUUGCGCUGCCAAGUUAAUCUUAGUAGCCCUAUGUCUAUCGCCUUGACAAAUCUUGCCAGAUUGGAGUUUUAAAACCGUAACUAAAUGUAGCCUUAUAUAAUUUGUCUAACCGCGCAGCGGCUUAAGGCCGAAACACACUGCAUGCAUUAUGCUUGUUCCUUCUAACUGUGUAGUUCAUGGCUUGCGUACCUACCGUACUCUCGAAUGCUUAAGGGUGGAAUUCCACCUAUCCAAAAUUUGGUCAAAUGUGCACUCACAUAAAAAAAAUACAAAUCUGAUCAAAUAUUGGACGUGUGGAAUACCACCCUAAGCCAUGCAACACGGCGGUGUGGCAUACGGUGUGGUUGGGCCUGUAUUCAUUGCUCAUAUUUAAUUUUAUGGGGAAAUGAUCUCUACCGAAUAACUCUGUUUACAUCAAACUAAAUGUUAGGUUAUCUGACAUUGAUUUGUUUUCCCAAACUCGACGUGUUUUGAACACUGACAGCUGUGCUGCAACACAUUUAUUUAAGACUAAUGUGUAUUAUUAGAACCUCAAGUCGUUGAUACCUAAUAUGUAUGUGACAGUGUUUUAUUUUUGUAUUUUGAUAAAAUUUGUGUAAAUAAUUUUCUUAUUUUAUUGAUAUUAAACUCAAUUUAAUCAA